UACGGAGGGUGCAAGCGUUAAUCGGAAUUACUGGGCGUAAAGCGUGCGCAGGCGGUUUGUUAAGUCCGCUGUGAAAUCCCCGAGCUCAACUUGGGAAUUGCAGUGGAUACUGGCAAGCUGGAGUAUGGUAGAGGAAGGUGGAAUUCCCGGUGUAGCAGUGAAAUGCGUAGAGAUCGGGAGGAACACCAGUGGCGAAGGCGGCUACCUGGACCAGCACUGACACUGAGGCACGAAAGCGUGGGGAGCAAACAGG
rnacentral:rRNA from 1 species